rnacentral:rRNA from 5 species
UUGGCUCUCGCAUCGAUGAAGAACGCAGCGAAAUGCGAUAAGUAAUGUGAAUUGCAGAAUUCAGUGAAUCAUCGAAUCUUUGAACGCACCUUGCGCUCCUUGGUAUUCCGAGGAGCAUGCCUGUUUGAGUGUCAUUAAAUUCUCAACCUUUAUUAGC